rnacentral:rRNA from 1 species
AACGAACGCUGGCGGCUUGCCUAACACAUGCAAGUCGAACGAGACCUUCGGGUCUAGUGGCGCACGGGUGCGUAACGCGUGGGAACCUGCCCUUAGGUUCGGAAUAACUCCCCGAAAGGGGUGCUAAUACCGGAUAAUUUCUUCGGACCCAAGAUUUAUCGCCUUUGGAUGGGCCCGCGUUGGAUUAGCUAGUUGGUAGGGUAAAAGCCUACCAAGGCGACGAUCCAUAGCUGGUCUGAGAGGAUGAUCAGCCACACUGGGACUGAGACACGGCCCAGACUCCUACGGGAGGCAGCAGUGGGUAAUCUUGGACAAUGGGCGAAAGCCUGAUCCGGCAAUGCCGCGUGAGUGAUGAAGUCCUUAGGGUUGUAAAGCUCUUUUACCCGGGAUGAUAAUGACAGUACCGGGAGAAUAAGCUCCGGCUAACUCCGUG